GCGACGACGGGUAGCCGACCUGAGAGGGUGACCGGCCACACUGGGACUGAGACACGGCCCAGACUCCUACGGGAGGCAGCAGUGGGGAAUAUUGCACAAUGGGCGAAAGCCUGAUGCAGCGACGCCGCGUGAGGGAUGACGGCCUUCGGGUUGUAAACCUCUUUCAGCAGGGACGAAGCGAAAGUGACGGUACCUGCAGAAGAAGCACCGGCCAACUACGUGCCAGCAGCCGCGGUAAUACGUAGGGUGCGAGCGUUGUCCGGAAUUACUGGGCGUAAAGAGCUCGUAGGCGGUUUGUCGCGUCGUCUGUGAAAACCAGCAGCUCAACUGCUGGCUUGCAGGCGAUACGGGCAGACUUGAGUACUGCAGGGGAGACUGGAAUUCCUGGUGUAGCGGUGAAAUGCGCAGAUAUCAGGAGGAACACCGGUGGCGAAGGCGGGUCUCUGGGCAGUAACUGACGCUGAGGAGCGAAAGCGUGGGUAGCGAACAGGAUUAGAUACCCUGGUAGUCCACGCCGUAAACGGUGGGCGCUAGGUGUGGGUUUCCUUCCACGGGAUCCGUGCCGUAGCUAACGCAUUAAGCGCCCCGCC
rnacentral:rRNA from 1 species